AUUCCCUCCUCCUGGCAAAAGGCAGGCGUUGGUUGUUUCCCCCUGCAGGAAGAAAGGCACUCUGCACAUGCUUGGGUUGGGUUUUGCUUGGCACCUGCUUUGACAGGGACAGGAGCAAACGGAUCCGUCUCCGGGCCAAAUCCCUGGCGGGCAGAGAGGACAGGCCGUCGCUUGCAUCUCCACCCUGUGACCUUCGCUGAAGAAUCUGUGGGGAGGUGGCUGUGCAUUUCAACCAGGGGAGCAAGGGUGUGCUGGACUGAGGCCAGACAGCUCCGCAGAAAGACGUCAUGCUGGAGGCUGAAGGGAACGAGGCCUCUCCAGGUAAGGGAUCCCUUUGCAUUUCAUAUUUGUAUUUUUCACCGCACUGUUGACCUGGUUGGAAGUGGGCAACCAGAUCCUAUGCCUUCGAAGCUGCCUUGCGCCUGGCUUGAGCUUUGCUGGUACCAUUUU
rnacentral:lncRNA from 1 species